CUAGCAGGUCUCGAACGGUC
rnacentral:misc_RNA from 1 species